rnacentral:rRNA from 1 species
CUGACGAGUGGCGGACGGGUGAGUAAUGCUUGGGAAUCUGGCUUAUGGAGGGGGAUAACGACGGGAAACUGUCGCUAAUACCGCGUAUUAUCGGAAGAUGAAAGUGCGGGACUGAGAGGCCGCAUGCCAUAGGAUGAGCCCAAGUGGGAUUAGGUAGUUGGUGGGGUAAAUGCCUACCAAGCCUGCGAUCUCUAGCUGGUCUGAGAGGAUGACCAGCCACACUGGAACUGAGACACGGUCCAGACUCCUACGGGAGGCAGCAGUGGGGAAUAUUGCGCAAUGGGGGGAACCCUGACGCAGCCAUGCCGCGUGAAUGAAGAAGGCCUUCGGGUUGUAAAGUUCUUUCGGUAUUGAGGAAGGUUGAUGUGUUAAUAGCACAUCAAAUUGACGUUAAAUACAGAAGAAGCACCGGCUAACUCCGUGCCAGCAGCCGCGGUAAUACGGAGGGUGCGAGCGUUAAUCGGAAUAACUGGGCGUAAAGGGCACGCAGGCGGUUAUUUAAGUGAGGUGUGAAAGCCCUGGGCUUAACCUAGGAAUUGCAUUUCAGACUGGGUAACUAGAGUACUUUAGGGAGGGGUAGAAUUCCACGUGUAGCGGU